CGUAGGGUCCAAGCGUUAUCCGGAAUCACUGGGCGUAAAGCGUGCGUAGGUGGAUGUUUAAGUGAGAUGUUAAAUCGUGUGGCUCAACCAUAUCGAUGCAUCUCAUACUGGGCAUCUAGAGGACGGCAGAGGCAAGUGGAAUUAGCAGUGUAGCAGUGAAAUGCGUAGAGAUUGCUAGGAACACCAAUGGCGAAGGCAGCUUGCUGGGCCACUCCUGACACUGAGGUACGAAAGCGUGGGGAGCGAACAGGAUUAGAUACCCUGGUAGUCCACGCCGUAAACGAUGCAUACUAGUCGUAUGGGGUAUCGACCCCCUGUGUGACGAAGCUAACGCGUUAAGUAUGCCGCCUGGGAAGUACGGCCGCAAGGCUA
rnacentral:rRNA from 1 species